rnacentral:misc_RNA from 1 species
UGCGGUUGCGGUUGCGGUUGCGGCUGCGGUUGCAGUCGUUGCUGCUGCUGAAACGGUUGAGGGAAUAGCUGCUGUUGCUGUUGCUGUUGCGGGAAAAGGGAGCUGCUUUGUUGGAAGGGCUGCGGCUGAGACUGAAACACUGACUGUGGUUGCUGCUGUGGAGUUGAAAAUGGAGAAAAAGACAUCUGCGAUUCUGAUUCAAAAUUUUUGUUGUAAGUCUUGCCUUGUUAUUUGGUGUGCUUCUUCUAUGAUUGUGUUAGAUUUGGGGGUUCUAUAAAUUCAAAAACCCUGUUUAAAACCCUAGAGAGGGAAAUAGGAAAGGACCCUCCAUAGACG